rnacentral:misc_RNA from 1 species
CUGGAGCAAGAGCGGGUGCCGGCUAAACACAUACAAAGAAGGUUUAAGUCGGCAGCGCACAAGCCCGGCAAGCCCCCUCCUCCGCCGUCCCCUGUCGCAAGUCCACUCACUCUUUCGUUUCUUUCCGAUACGGUAGCCACGAUGGAGUACCAGAUUAUCUCGAGCAAGGGUGACAAGUUCGCGCUUUGCAUCGACGACGACAUGACGGUUGGGGAUGUCAAAGGUGUCGCUGCGGCGAUGCUGGAUGCCCCCGAUGACGUCGUCAUGACGGUCUCGCUCAACGGCAAGCUCCUUAAAGAUGAUGCGGAGACCUGGGGAGAGCUGCGCAGACGCCUCUUCCGAAGCCACCAGCCCCAUCCCAUGCAGCGCAAGCUCUUCUGCAACGUGACGGAUCGCCCAGUGGUGGAGUCCCAGAGCGCCGAGAUGCUGCGCAUGCUGCCGUCCAAGGAGGAAAAAAAGCUUGAACAGGAGAAAGAGCGCGAGAAGGUGGCCGCGAUGGACUCUAUGGUAGACACACUCGCCGACAACCCUGCCUUUCUUGAGGGCAUGCUGAGUAUGAACCCCAUGAUCAAAAGGAUGCAGAAAAAAUCACCCGAGGUGGCGCGUAUGCUGAAGGAUCCGGACACGUUGCGCAUGCUCCUGAAGUCCUCCGUUGACCCGCAGCGGCGGCGGGAGAUGGAGCGCAACGCAGAGCUGCAGCUUGCUCACAUCGCCGCCUUGCCCGGAGGCCAGCAGAUGAUCAAUCAUUACAUGGAUCAGCUCACCGAGGACGAGGAGGAAACCGACGCACAACGGCAGCUCCGCAUUGGCAGGUCGACAGCCGAGGUGAGCGACGAGAUCGCCCACCCGGACCCAACCAAAGAGGCAAACAGCGACCCUUUGCCGAACCCGUGGGCAACGCCGGCCGCGACGGCGUCGGGGGCUGCGUCCCAAACAGGUGGUGCCUUUCCAUUCGGCGACGCCGAGGGUUUCCCUUUUUUCAGCCCCUUCGGCUUUCCUCCCGCAGCCGCCUCCUCUCCUAAUGGCGCUGCUACCGACCCCGUGGCAUCCUCGUUUGUGGGUGGAUCUGCGGCCGCGUCGUCGAGCGGCCCGGAUCAGGAGGUCAUGAACUCCAUGAUACAAAUGAUGAUGCAAUCCAUGAUGACGCCCCCCUCGGCACCGACAACUGCCACUACCGAUGCGCAGUCGCCUUCGACUGCGGCAGCACCGGUGCCUGCAUCCCCCUCCGUGUUGUCCGAGGAAACGGUGCAGCGUGGUCUGUCGGCCCUGCGUGAGAUGGGGUUUGAGGACGAGGCCCUAUGCCGUGAGGCGCUGACGGCCUGCGGUGGCGACGCAGAGGCUGCUGUGGACUACAUUGCUGAACAUCAGGAGGAGUAGCAGCUUCCUGAUUUCCUUUGCUUUUUGCUUUUUCGAGGGUAAGGAAGAAGACGAGUACAGGCAGCGCCUCUCCCGUUUUUUCGAAGUUGCUGGCGUUGCUGCGGACAAGGUGGUGCUUCACUUGCCGGCAUCAAUCCAGGAGCGAUCGCCGCACUGCACAGUAAUAAUACUCUCACAGAUACGCCCAAAGGCUGCGACUGCCUUGCAGCUCUCGCGCUGGGUGCGAGGCAGUGAAGCUGGUUCCAGGCCUGCCACGAGGACAACUGCAUGAAUUGCGAACCUGGCCACCGGUUUCCGAUGCCACGCCGACGUCUCGCGAGAACCGCGCUGCACGAUGCGACACGCUGGCACACGGGGGCUCCUUGACGGCAGCGGUUCCACACCAGAAGAACGAGGACGCUGAGCUCACCAGACGGCCGGAGACCGUGCUCGCCCAGCUCCGCACGGGCGCCUGUCCGCACUUCGGAUUCCGCCAACGGUGGGUGGCCGGCAGUGACAGCAUGGAGCUCACAUGGUGUGGUGCCUUCUACUCCGCUAGAAUUGCGGUACCUCCGCCCCUGCCAGGGCCCUCGUCCUCGCCCUCGAGCGGGUCCGCGGACACGGGUCGCGAGGAUCAAGACAUGCAGCCCACCCGAGCCCGUCUGUCGCCGGUCGUGCAGCACGCGUCCGAAGAAGGGACGAGAAAGCACAGUAGCGAGCCCGUUCGACGCGCAGCCCUUGAUUGGACGGCAGGACGCUUCGUCCUACACGACGGAGGUUGAGCCGUGGCGCAGCAGGGGUAGGUGAGCUGUGGCUGCACGCGCAUAUCAGUCGACUUGCUCGUGGGCGAAUCGCCACGCGUUGAGAACGAGAAUCGCAUGUUGGUGCUUGUGGCGCUGUCGCGGCUCGAGGCGCGCCUCAAGCUGUUUUUCUUUUUUUUGCUGUUUUUAGGGGCCGUGGCGGAUUCGUGACCGUAUAGCGGGGAAAACCGAAAUUAUGAUUGAAGCGCUGCUGGCGGAGCAUCGGGUUUGUCGGUGCGGUGUCCGUUCGUUCCAAUAAUGGAAAGCCGGGUUGUGUAUGCGUUUUUUUUUGUUUUCCCUGUUUGGGUGGAACUGAGGCGUGCCCGUAUCAAAUUCCCCUCCUGCUUGAUGUGCGUCGGCAAAGGGGCAUGCCUUCUGCCUAUGCUGCUGUGCGUGUUGGCCUGUCUUGUGCAUGCGUGUGCUUCGCGCGUGCCUCUGUGCUGCUGUGAUGGAACCCCCCCCCUCCCCGUUCUCGUGGCGGGAAGGGGGUUGGGCGGUGCAGCGGUCUUAUCUCGACUCCGUAUGGUCUCCGCUAACGUGUGUUCCAUUUGUUCUUUUUUUUUCGCAUUUUUUCCUCUCUAUGUGUGCUGGUGAUCGAGAGAG